rnacentral:rRNA from 1 species
CGGAGGGGCUAGCGUUGUUCGGAAUUACUGGGGCGUAAAGCGCACGUAGGCGGCUUUGUAAGUUAGAGGUGAAAGCCCGGAGCUCAACUCCGGAAUUGCCUUUAAGACUGCAUCGCUCGAAUCAUGGAGAGGUGAGUGGAAUUCCGAGUGUAGAGGUGAAAUUCGUAGAUAUUCGGAAGAACACCAGUGGCGAAGGCGACUCACUGGACAUGUAUUGACGCUGAGGUGCGAAAGCGUGGGGGAGCAAACAGGAUU